CUACCAGCUAACCUUAUUUUUCUGGAUAAAUUUUCUUGAGUGCCGGGCUGAACUUUACCCACUCUGUAAAACCAUUGGCCUAAACCUCUUUCUUUAGCCUUUCCUUUUCUUCUACACCUAAUUAAGAUCAUUCUCAAUUAAUAGUGCUUUGCUCACUAGUACUCCAUAAGUCAUUAUAAGUUUUAAUGUAUUCACUAGUUGUCCA
rnacentral:lncRNA from 1 species